GAUGAACGCUGGCGGCGUGCCUAAUACAUGCAAGUCGAGCGAACGGACGAGAAGCUUGCUUCUCUGAUGUUAGCGGCGGACGGGUGAGUAACACGUGGAUAACCUACCUAUAAGACUGGGAUAACUUCGGGAAACCGGAGCUAAUACCGGAUAAUAUUUUGAACCGCAGGGUUCAAAAGUGAAAGACGGUCUUGCUGUCACUUAUAGAUGGAUCCGCGCUGCAUUAGCUAGUUGGUAAGGUAACGGCUUACCAAGGCAACGAGGCAUAGCCGACCUGAGAGGGUGGUCGGCCACCCUGGAACUGAGACACCGUCCAGACUCCUACGGGAGGCAGCAGUAGGGAAUCUUCCGCAAUGGGCGAAAGCCUGACGGAGCGACGCCGCGUGAGUGAUGAAGGUCUUCGGAUCGUAAAACUCUGUUAUUAGGGAAGAACAUAUGUGUAAGUAACUGUGCACAUCUUGACGGUACCUAAUCAGAAAGCCACGGCUAACUACGUG
rnacentral:rRNA from 1 species